rnacentral:lncRNA from 1 species
AUGUCACCGGCCUCCGACCAAGCAUGGAGGGCCACGGGGAGGGCGGCCCCACCCCCCCCCAGGACCGGCCGGGCCCCGCCGCCGCCGGGGUCCCGAGCGCCGCAUUGCAAAAACCCACCGCCGCCGGGCCAUCGAUCGCCCGCUGGCCGACUCCGCCGGCCCGGGCGCCCUUUCGUGAUCGUGAUUCUUUUUAUUUUAAACCUCCUCUUGGAGGGGGGAAGGGGGGGGGGGUGCGGCGAUGCCCGGGGAAGGCGGCGGAGGACGCUCGGCCGGUGCAGCGGCGGGGAGGGGGGAGACAGACCUCUCCGACGCCACCGAAGGAAACGGCGCCGGGUCACGGCAGCGACAAAAGAAAAGUCAUGGGGGGGGGCCGCCGCCCCCCCUUCCCCCCCCCCCCCCCCGGGGCCUUUCCGCAACCGCCCCGGCCCCCCUCCCCCGCCCCGGCGCCACUGCAGCUGCACGGCUCCCCGGAGCCUCGUCCGGCCCUGCAGCUGCAGAGCCUCCCGGCCGACCCCCCCCGCGCCCCGGCCCGCUCGUCCCUGCAGCUGCGGCGGCCCCGGGAGCCCCCGCCCCGGGGGGAGGCCGACGACGGGGGGGGGGGGGGGAGGGCAGGAGGGGGCUCCGCAGCUGCACCGCCCCCCCAACUCCAACUCCGCCUCCCGCCGUCGGCAGGACCCCCCGGCCCGACCCCGCGCCCCCCGCCCCUACCUCCUCCUCCUCCUCCUCCUGCCGGCGCCGCGGGGGUCUCAACAGCUGGUGCUCCCUCCUCCUCCUCGUCCUCCCGGGCCCGCCCUCCUCCACUCAGUUGACAGGGGGGAGGGGCGGGGGGGGGCGGCCCGGUGGCACCGGGACUCACCCGGAGGAGCGGCCCUAAGUGGCCUCCUGCCGCCGCCGCCGCCGCGGGUCCGGCUGUGCAGGGCGGCCGCUGCCCCCCGCCUUCCCUCCCGCCCGCCCUCCGGGCUGCACCCGAUCGGCCCGGGCGGGGGGGAGGGGAAGGGGGGGGGAACCGAGGCCGGGCCCGGGGGGGGGGGGGCGGGGAGGGUCCGGAGGGAGGAGGAGGCAGCGCGCACGCGCGCACGCACGCGGCGGCCAGUUGGUCCUCCCCCCCCCCCCCCCGCCUUUGCAACGACACACUCACACACACACACACACGCGCGCGCACCCCCGCCGCAUCCCCCUUCCUCCCUCCCUCCCCGCCCCCCCCGGCCGAGCCGGCUUCCGCGAUUGACAGGC